CUUUCACUAAAAGCUUUCUCCACCUUUACUAAAAUAAAAAAAGAAAAAAGAAUAGUGUUGGGAAUGGUGCACAAAAUUUGUUUUUCGUGAGUGUAGAUAAUAAAACAAAGUUUCUAUCUUGCCCUUCAAGAACAAAUGGAUUGCAAUGGACUAGGUGCAUGCAAAAAUAGCCCCCUCCCAAGGUGCGAAUGUUGCCGGAAGGAAGUGCCUUGUGCCAUAGGCCAAGUGAAGUAGUUCCAUGGAAGCAGAGCAAGUCAUCAUCAAAGUGUAAGGUUGCAGGAGAAUGAAGGUGUCAGCGAGGAGGCAGUGUGACAAAGGGAAACAGGGUGGCUAUGCAGGAUUGUUGGAAGUGUUUGCUGCUAUGAGACACAAAUCAAAGAGGCUUCCUUGAGAUCUCUUUGCCACUUAACUGGAAGACUCUCAUUAAGAGUCUGAAGUCCCCUCUCUCCCCCUCCCCCUCCCUCUCCCUCUCCCCUCUUUCCACGGUCUCCCUCUCAUGCCGAGCUGAAGCUGGACUAUGCUGCUGCCAUCUCGGCUCACUGCAACCUCCCUGCCUGAUUCUCCUGCCUCAGCCUGCCGAGCGCCUGCGAUUGCAGGUGCACGCCGCCACGCCUGACUGGUUUUCGUAUUUUUUUGGUGGAGACGGGGUUUCGCUGUGAUGGCCGGGCUGGUCUCCAGCUCCUAACCACGAGUGAUCCGCCAGCCUCGGCCUCCCGAGGUGCCGGGAUUGCAGACGGAGUCUCCUUAACUCAGUGCUCAAUGGUACCCAGGCUGGAGUGCAGUGGCGUGAUCUCGGCUCGCUACAACCUCCACCUCCCAGCCGCCUGCCUUGGCCUCCCAAAGUGCCGAGAUUGCAGCCUCUGCCCGGCCGCUACCCCGUCUGGGAAGUGAGGAGCGUCUCUGCCUGGCCGCCCAUCGUCUGGGAUGUGAGGAGCCCCUCUGCCUGGCUGCCCAGUCUGGAAAGUGAGAAGCGUCUCUGCCCGGCCGCCAUCCCACCUAGGAAGUGAGGAGCGCCUCUUCCCGGCCGCCAUCCCACCUAGGAAGUGAGGAGCGCCUCUUCCCGGCCGCCAUCCCAUCUAGGAAGUGAGGAGCGUCUCUGCCCGGCCGCCCAUCGUCUGAGAUGUGGGGAGCACCUCUGCCCCGCCGCCCUGUCUGGGAUGUGAGGAGUGCCUCGGCCCGGCCGCGACCCUGUCUGGGAGAAAGAAGGUGAUUAAUUCUGCCUAAGUUCGACACGAUCCCAUGAGACGACCCUGCCAUCCAGAGAAGCACAAUCUUCAGCCUUCAAGACACUUUGGACUUUGACUAUUGAGUUUCUAAAUUUAAAAACUAAAUUGAGUGUCCUUAGAACCAAUUUAUCUUGAGGAGGAUAUCAUUUUUUGAGGAGUUAAAAGGGCAAUUAUUGUUUCUAGGUCAUUUGUUAAAAAUUGGCACACAAUAUAUUUUAAUGCUAUUUAGGUGCAUAUCUAUCAUGGAUUAUUAACUUUGAUCAUGUUUGUUGUCUUUGCUCCCUAGAGGUACAUAAGCUCUGAAGGAAAUAUCAAAUCCCAUCCAACAUUUUCACUGAAGAGAUCAUAACUUUCAAUCCAAAUUCUAUAAUUCAAUUGCAAUAUUAAAUUUGAAUACAUGAAAUUUAUGCAAUCAUUAUACAUAUCGUUUCUAAUAGUUGGACUGAUAGUUUGACAUAGGGCUAAUAAUGCUCCCCUGUUGUAACAAGAAUUUCCGGGUGCUUAUAUAUUAUGAGACUACUCUGCAGGCUUCAUUUGUUCUAUUCCUCUUUUUCCACGUGGCAACAGAGGCUGAAACAUAUAGAGGAAAAGAAGUACAUCGGCAAAUAAAAUAUGCUUAUAGGAGAGAAAAAACAAAUGUCUCCUAUGGGAUCUUGAUGAGGUAAUGUAUGUUAAGUUAUUCAGAAAAAAGCAAAUAAUAUGCAAAUGUGAAAAGUUAUUACACGUCAUGCCAACUCUUAGCUCCCAGCCCAAGCUUCCAACUGGAGCAAGUUCCCCAGGCUCUUAAUUUCCAUGAGGGAAACUCAGCAAAUUUAAAUAAUAUUAAUGAUAUAUUAAUGUAGUAAUGUGAUAACAAGGCACUUAGUAAUAAUGAAAUGGAUAUAUGCUAUUAAGAAACUUGAUUUCAUAUACACUUGUCAAUAUUUACAUUACAGGAUCAAUUCAAUUCAACAGAUAUUUAUUGAGUUGCAUCAGACACUGUGCUUGACGUUGUGACUUAACUAUAAAAGUAGGUGGUCCCUGUAUUUGUGGAGAUUACAGUCUGUUGAAGGUAGACAGAUAAUGAAGGUUGUAAUUAGGUAAUAACGACGUGAUGUGAUAACAUGGUUUUCUCAUUUAACAGAUUCACUCAUGAAUCACAACAUAAUUAUUGAGCCCUAACAAAAAUGCCAGUUCUCCUAACAGGCUCUAUAGAGAUAUAGCAUUGAAUGUAAAAGUCAGGGUCUCUGUAAAAGUCAGGGUCUCUGAUCUCGGAGAACUAGAUGUUCAAGGGAGUCACAGCAGUGCAAUAUAUGUUAGAGUUUCAGGAAGCCAUUUACAAAUAUUAGGCAAGUAAAUGUUAUGUUCCAAUUUUUAUUUUAUGUGCCUCCCUCUCUAAAAGAAAAUAUAAGAGACACAGAGUAAGAACCUAAGUUAUCACCUUGAUUCAGUAACAAGAGAUUGUAUUAGAGUUCCCUAGAGAAAAAGAAACAAUAAUAUAAAGAUGUACAUAUACGUCUAUAUACCUGUUAUAAGAAUUGGCUCAUACAACAAAGGAGGCCGAGAAGUCCUAUGAUUUACCAUCUGCAAGCUAUAGAACCAAGAAAGCUAGUGGUAUUUUUUAGUAGGAGUCCAAAGGCCUCAGAACCAGGAGCACUGAUGUCCAACGACAGGAGAAGGAAGACAAAAAUGGCGGGAAGAAGAAACAAAUGCAAAAUAUAGAAAACAGGUACAAGCAUGAUAUAAAUCCAACUGUAUUAAUAAUUACUUUAAAUGUGAAUGGUCUAAAUAUGCCAAUUACAAGACAGAGAUUGCCAGAGUGGAAAAAAAUAAAAAUCUACUGGAUUUAAAUGAAAAGACUCAGUUGAACAUAAAGGGAAGAAGAAUGAUGUAUCAUUGGCUAGAUACAAAUAGAUGUAUCUAGUCAAAAGCAAGCUGGAGGGCCGGGUGCAGUGGCUCAGCCCUGUUAUCCCAGCACUUUGCAGGGCAGAGGCGGGCGGAUCACAAGGUCAGAGAUUGAGACCAUCCUGGUUAACAUGGUGAAAUCCUGUCUCUACUAAAAAUACAAGAAAUUAGCUGGGCGUGGUGCCACACACCUGUAAUCCCAGCUACUUGGGAGGCUGAGGUAGGAGAAUCGCUUGAACCCAGAAGAUGGAGGUUGCAGUGAGCAGAAAUUGUGCCACUGCACUCCAGCCUGGAUGACACAGCAAGAUUCCGUCUCAAAAAAGAAAAAAAAAUCAAGCUGGAAUAGCAAUAUUAAUUUCAGAAAACACACAUCUCAGAACAAAGAAGAUGAGCAGGGAUAAAGAGGGAGAUUAAACAAUAAUAAAAGACUAAAUAAAAAACAAAAAUAAAAAAUAAAAUAAUAAUAAAAGAAUACAAUGGAACUAAACUAGAAAUUAAUAACAGAAAAAUUGUUGGAAAUCUCUAAAUAUACAGAAAAUUUAAAACAUGCUUAUAUAUAACCCAAGUAUCAAAGAAGUAGUAUCAAGAGAAAUUGAAAAAUAAUUUUGAACUAAAGAAAAAUGAAAACAGAACUUAUGAAAAUUUUUGGGAUGCAGCAACAGUAGUGCUUAGAGGGAAAUUUAUGGCUUCAAAUAUUUACAUAAGAAAAGAAGAAAGAUUUAAAAAAAAUCAAUCAUUUUAGCCUCCACCCAAGAGAACUAGAGAAAGAAGAGCAAUUUAGGCUUAAUGCAAGCAGGGGAAAAGAUAUAACAAAAUUAGAGCUGAAAUCAAUGAAAUUGGAACCAUAAAUUUCACAAAUGUAAUAGAAAAAUAAUCUCAGAAACCAGAAAUUGUUUUUUGAGAAGGUUUGUCAAAAAACCUUGAUGAAUCUCUAGCUGGGCUAACCAAGAAAAUAGAUUAAUUUUUCUCAUAAACAUGGAUGCACAAGUUCUCAAUGAAAUAUUAACAAAUUGAAUCCAGCAAUAUGUAAAAGGAAUUAUAAACUAUGACCAAGUGGCAUUUAUUUCAGUUAUACAAGAUUGGUUUCACACUUGAAAAUCAACCAAUAUAAUCUACUGUAUCAACAUGCUAAAGAAGAAAAAUUAUAUGAUUAUAUCAAUUACUGCUGAAAAAGCUUUUGACGAAAUCCACAUUCAUGAUAAAACUUUCAGCAAAAUACAAAUAGAGUAAAAUUUUCUCAGCUUGAAAAAGGAAUCUACAGUAACCUACAGUUAACAUUAUACUUAAUGGAGAGAUACAUUUUCUCUAAGAUAGAGAAAAAGGCAAUAUUGUCCUCUCUAACUGCUCCUAAACAACAUUGUACUGGAAGUCUAAGUUAAUACAGUAAGACAAGAAAAAACAAUUAAAAAUGUAUAAAAUGGAAAGGAAGAAACAAUUAUUUUUAUUCAGAUGACAUAAUUAUCUAUAUACAAAAGAAUCCCAAAUAAUCUACAAAAUAUUCCUAGAACUAAUGAGCAAAGUGGCAGGAUAAAAGAUUAACAUACAUAGCCAACCAAUUUUCUAUAUAUCAGCAAUGAGUGAUUGAAAUGAAAAAAUUUAAAAUACACCACUUAUGACAGCAGCAAAAAUGGAAUAUUUUGUUAUAAAUCUGAGAAUAUAUGUACAGAAUGUACAUAUAGGAAACUAUAAAACACUGAUGAAGGAAGUAAAGCAUAUAUAUAGAAAUGUUCCAUAUUCAUGAAUCAGAACAGUCAUUAUUGUUAAGAUGUCAAUUCUUCCCAGUUUAAUUUAUACAUUCAAUACAAUUCCAAUAAAAAUCCUAGCAAACUAUUUUUUGAUAUCAACUAACAAGUUGACUCUCAUUUUAUAUUGAAAGGCAGAAGACCAAGAAUAGCCAAUGUAAUCUUAAAAAAUAAAAAUAAAGUUGGAGGACUCACACUACCCAAUUUAAAAUUUAAAGACUCACUAUGAAGGUACAUUAAUAAAGGCAAUGUGGUGUUAGUGAAAGGAUGGACACAUGGAUCAACAGGACAAGACAAAGAACUGAUAAAUAGACCAACACAUGCAUAGCCAAGUGAUAUUUGACAAAGGAGUGAAAGCAAUCUGUCACUAGAGAAAGGAUAAUAUUUUCAGCAAAUGGAGCUGGAACAAUUAAAUGCCCAUAUAUAAAUAAAAAAUCCGGACAGAAACUACAUUUUCCAAAAAUUUGAAUCAAAAUGGGUCAUAAACUUAAGUGUAAAAUGCAAAACUAUAACAUUCCCAGAAGAAAACAGGAGAAAAUCUGUGUGAUCUGGAGUUUGGCAAUUUAUUUUUAGAUACAAUACAAAAAGCACACCUCAUGAAAACAAUUGAUACAUUUGACUUUAUUAAAGUUAAAAUCUUCUGCAUUGCAAAAAAACUAAGAGAAUGAAAAUCCAAGUCAUAAACUGGGAAAAAAAUGUUUGCAAAAUUUAUAUCUGAUAAAGAACUUGUAUCCAAAAUAUACAAAGAACUCUUUAAAUCCAACAAUAAGAAGACAACCCAAUUUAAAAAUAAGCAAAGAUCUUAAUAAACAUCUCACCAGAUAAGAUAUGCAGAUGGAAAAUAAACAUGAAAUGAUGCUCAACAUCAUUAGCCAUUAGAUAAUUGCAUAUUAUCACAACAAUGAGACACCAUUGCAUUCCUAUUAUGGUGGCCAGCCCUGUCAUCCUUUUCCAGUUGAAAAUACCAAUUGCUGGCAGGAAUGCAGAGCAACAAGAAGUUUAUUUUGUUGCUGGUAGAAAUGCAAGAGUACAGCCACAUAGGAAGAGAGUUUGGCAGUUUUUAACAAAGCUAAACAUUGCCAUAAAUACAACUCUGUAAUCCCGCUCCUAGGUAUUUACCCAACUGACGUGAAAACUGAUGUCCACAACAUGCAUGCGAAAGUUUAUAACACUGUCUUUCAUAAUUGCCAAAAAUUGGAAGCAACCAAGAUGUCCUUUAAUAUGUGAAUAGAUAAACAAACUGAAGUACAACUACACAAUAGAGUACUAUCAUUGAUAAGAGGUAAUGAGCUACGAAGACAUGCAGAAACAUGAGUGAAUAGUAAAUGCAUAUUGCUAAGUAGAAGAAGCCAGUCUUAAAAAGCUGUAUGAUUCCCUUUAUAGAAUAUUCUGGAAAAGGGGAAACUAUAAAGACAAUAAAUACAUCAAUGGUUGUUGGAGCUUUGGAGGAGGUGAGUUAAAUAGGUGGUGAGCAGAAGAUAUUUUAGGGUGGGAAACUAUUUUUUUGGUAGUGUCAUAAACAAUAUAUGACAGUAUGUAUUUGUCAAAACUCACAAAACUUUAUAACAAAAAGAGUUAGCCUUAAUGUUUGCCAAUUAAAAAAUUAUCUAAGUGACUGGUGGAUCUCAGGAUAAAAUGCGGAAUGUUGCAAAAGACUCCAAGUGUAUUAGAAAUGUAUAAAACAACCAUACCGCAUGGAGAGGGAGAAGGUGGGAUCUACAUAAUGUUGCAAAUAUGUGGAGUCUGGAAUACUAAUGGCAAAAGGAACUGUGCAGAAGAACUGCACUCUGGUUGGUAAAGGUUUUUCACAAUGGGUUAUGGAUCCACAAUUCUGAAAGCAGCAUACGUGCAUAGUGCUUUUGAACAAUUAGGUACUUAAAUGGUGAGUGGUGAAAGUCAACUUUCUCACUGCUGGAGUGGGAGGCUACAAGUAAGGAAGGGAAGAGACUACAAUGAUCCAUGUGGUGAUAAAUUAAAGUUGUGGGCAUUAGUUUGAAUAUAUGUUUAGCUUAAUAUAGAUACAGAAGGUUACAUACAGAAAAAUUUACAUGAGUUACAUGUAUAUACAUAGGUUAGCAAACACACAUACAUUUCCUUGCUGUCUCAGCUUAGACCCUCAGAGGGCCUAGGAGCCAUGAUUCCCCAGUACCCCAGUAGUAACAAGCAUACCUAGUGCCUAGAUCUUGGUUUCAAAUUAUAUUCUCAAAUAAAAGAAACUAGAGCUCAGUGAAGAAAUGACUUGAGUCUAGGAUUGGAACAUGAUAUACACAAGAUGAACCUAGAACAUCUUGUAGUGACAGAUAAGAAAAUGCUCACAAAAAAAGAAAAGAAAAAGAGAAAGAACCACCAUAUUGAAGACGUUUCAAAAGGACACUAGAGCUAAUUGAAGGAAUCCCCAAUGGUCAAAGCUGGAACAAUUUGAAUAACAAAAUAAACUAGUGAUGGAUAUGACCCAGAGUAUAAAAUGAAAAUCCAUUAAUCUAUACUGAUAUAAGUAAUUAAUUGACAAAUAAAUCGGAGAGAAUACAAAAAUCUGUGCAGAAGAGUUUCUGUGGAUGAUUUGCCCUAGAUAACUCUGUAUUCCUUAAGUGUGGGCUGCACACAGUGACUUCUUCCAAAGAGUGAAGUGGGAAAGGGAAAAAGAAGAGGAGUUUUAAGUAGAGAAACCUGAUGACACUACUUCAGCCAUGUAAUCAUCUUUCACAACUACAGUGACAGGUCAUGUUCAUAAUAUAUUCCCUUGAGGUGAUUUGAUGAGAGUGGCAUUUUCCCUCUGUGGUCUUCUUCCCAAAAUCAUAACUUGAAUUUAAUUUUGAAAAAAAAGAUCAGAUGAAUCUCAAUUAAGGGACUUUGUUUUUAAAAUACAUUAAAAAAUUUUUUUUUAAUUUUUUACUUGUCCCAAGAAAAAAAAUUGAGAAACUUUCUACAAAACACUUGGCCAAUACUUCUCAAAUUGUCUAGGUCAUCAAAAAUAAGAAAAGCUUGAGAAACUGUAAUACCCAGAGGGGCUUAUGGAGAAAUAAUGACCAAAUAUUAUAAGGUAUCUCAGAUGGGAUCACGAAAGAGAAAACGAGAACAUUAGAUAAAAACUAAGAAACUGAAAUCAACUAUGGCUUUUUAUUAAAGGUAUGCUAUUGAUAUACUAGGUCAUUAAAGGUGAUAAAUACAUUACAUUAUUGUAAGAUAAUGAUAACAGAAACUUGGUGUGUGGUAUAUAGGAACUCUGUACUAUAUAAGUUUUCUGUAAAUGUAAAAUUACCUUAAAAUAAAAAAGUGUAUUCAAUAUUUAAAAAGAAAAUUAGAAUUUUCUCUUUGGUAAAUACACACCUUACAAAUCUUUACACCAGAUAAUGGUUUUGGUUUUGACUCUCUACCUUCAUAAAAAAAGUUCUCAAUUGUAAUAUUGAGAAGAAUUAAUGUAUUAAUGCAUUAGACCCGAGGAAUA
rnacentral:lncRNA from 1 species